AUUGAACGCUGGCGGCAGGCCUAACACAUGCAAGUCGAGCGAGCGGCGGACGGGUGAGUAAUGUCUGGGAACCUGCCUGUUGGGGGGGGAUUACUACUGGAGACGGUAGCUAAUACCGCAUCCCAUCAGAUGUGCCUAGGUGGGAUUAGCUGGUGGGUGGGGUAAUGGCCCACGCAGGCGACGAUCCCUAGCUGGGGCUAGAGGAUGACCAGGCACACGGGAACUGAGACACGGUCCAGACUCCUACGGGAGGCAGCAGUGGGGAAUAUUGGACAAUGGGCGAAAGCCUGAUACAGCCAUGCCGCGUGUGUGAAGAAGGCCUUCGGAUUGUAAAGCACUUUCAGCGGGGAGGCGUUACCCGCAGAAGAAGCACCGGCUAACUCCGUGCCAGCAGCCGCGGUAAUUC
rnacentral:rRNA from 1 species